GUGCUCUUUCGGCAGCACACGUACUAAAACAGGAAUGAUACAGAGAAGAUGAGCGAGGCCCCAUGCAAGGAUGACAUGCAAAUUCGUGAAGCGUUCCAUGUUGAA
ensembl:snRNA U6 U6 spliceosomal RNA